rnacentral:RNase_P_RNA from 1 species
UCAGGGGGCUGGACGGCCGCCGGCCACCUUCGGGUGGCGGGAGGAAAGUCCGAACUCCAACCGGACAGGGUGCCGGCUAACGGCCGGGCGGCGCGAGCCGAUGGACAGUGCCACAGAAACAUACCGCCGGGGGCCUUCGGGCAGCCCGGUAAGGUUGAAAUGGUGCGGUAAGAGCGCACCGGCGUCGCGGUAACGCGGCGGCCGCGGUAAACCCCACUCGGAGCAAGGCCAAAUAGGGGAGCAUGGGCGUGUCCGGCGCUGCUCCCGGGUAGGCUGCUGGAGGCGUCCGGGUAACCGGCGUCGUAGAUGGAUGGCCGUCGCCGCACCUCGUUGGGCACGAGGCGCGGUACAGAAUUCGGCUUACAGGCCCCCUGACAGC